rnacentral:snoRNA from 1 species
GAGCAUAUGAUGUUAAAAAUAGAUCACUGAGAUCUUGUUCUUUGAUGUCUAAGAAAAUCGAGCUUUUUAAAACUGAUGUUUA